CCUACGAGCGGCUGCAGUGGGGAAUAUUGGACAAUGGGCGAAAGCCUGAUCCAGCCAUGCCGCGUGUGUGAAGAAGGCCUUCGGGUUGUAAAGCACUUUCAGUGGGGAAGAAAGCCUUGGGGCUAAUACCCUCGAGGAAGGACAUCACCCACAGAAGAAGCACCGGCUAACUCCGUGCCAGCAGCCGCGGUAAUACGGAGGGUGCGAGCGUUAAUCGGAAUUACUGGGCGUAAAGCGCGCGUAGGCGGUCUGAUAAGCCGGUUGUGAAAGCCCCGGGCUCAACCUGGGAACGGCAUCCGGAACUGUCAGGCUAGAGUGCAGGAGAGGAAGGUAGAAUUCCCGGUGUAGCGGUGAAAUGCGUAGAGAUCGGGAGGAAUACCAGUGGCGAAGGCGGCCUUCUGGACUGACACUGACGCUGAGGUGCGAAAGCGUGGGUAGCAAACAGGAUUAGAUACCCGUGUAGUC
rnacentral:rRNA from 1 species